rnacentral:rRNA from 1 species
UACGUAGGCAGCGAGCGUUGUUCGGAGUUACUGGGCGUAAAGGGUGUGUAGGCGGUUGUUUAAGUUUGGUGUGAAAUCUCCCGGCUCAACUGGGAGGGUGCGCCGAAUACUGAAUGACUUCGAGUGCGGGAGAGGAGAGUGGAAUUCCUGGUGUAGCGGUGAAAUGCGUAGAUAUCAGGAGGAACACCGGUGGUGUAGACGGCUCUCUGGACCGUAACUGACGCUGAGACACGGAAAGCGUGGGGAGCGAACAGG